rnacentral:rRNA from 1 species
UACAGAGGGGGCAAGCGUUGUUCGGAAUUACUGGGCGUAAAGGGCGCGUAGGCGGCCUGUUAAGUCGAACGUGAAAUCCCCGGGCUCAACCCGGGAACUGCGUCCGAUACUGGCAGGCUUGAAUCCGGGAGAGGGAUGCGGAAUUCCAGGUGUAGCGGUGAAAUGCGUAGAUAUCUGGAGGAAUACCGGUGGCGAAGGCGGCAUCCUGGACCAUUACUGACGCUGAGGCGCGAAAGCUAGGGGAGCAAACGGG